rnacentral:rRNA from 1 species
ACUCCUACGGGAGGCAGCAGUGAGGAAUUUUCCGCAAUGGGCGAAAGCCUGACGGAGCAAUGCCGCGUGGAGGAAGACGGCCCGUGGGUUGUAAACUCCUUUUCUUAGAGAAGAAGCACUGACGGUAUCUAAGGAAUAAGCAUCGGCUAACUCCGUGCCAGCAGCCGCGGUAAUACGGAGGAUGCAAGCGUUAUCCGGAAUCAUUGGGCGUAAAGGGUCCUGAGGUGGUUUGCUCAGUCUACUGUGAAAGAUCAGGGCUUAACCCUGAAAAUGCGGUGGAAAACAGGCUAGAAUACGGUAGGGGCAGGGGGAAUUCCCGGUGUAGCGGUGAAAUGCAUAGAUAUCGGGAAGAACACCAAUGGCGAAAGCACCCUGCUGGGCCGAUAUUGACACUGACAGACGAAAGCUAGGGGAGCGAAUGGGAUUAGAUACCCCAGUAGUCCUAGCCGUAAACGAUGGAUACUAAGUGCUGAGCGAUCCAAAACGUGCAGUGCUGCAGCUAACGCGGUAAGUAUCCCGCCUGGGGAGUAUGCCCGCAAGGGUGAAACUCAACGCGCGCCCCAUCCUCAUGAGU